rnacentral:rRNA from 1 species
CGGUGGAGUAUGUGGAUUAAUUCGAAGCAACGCGCAGAACCUUACCUGGGUUUUGACAUGGUUGGAUGGCUUUCUGGAAACAGAGUAGUCUGCCCGCAAGGGUGAAACUUCCACAGGUGCUGCAUGGCUGUCGUCAGCUCGUGUCGUGAGAUGUCGGGUUAAGUCCCUUAACGAGCGAAACCCUUGUCAUUAGUUACCAUCAGUUCAGCUGGGGACUCUAAUGAGACUGCCGGUGUUAAACCGGAGGAAGGUGGGGAUGACGUCAAGUCCUCAUGGCCUUUAUGCCCAGGGCCUCACACGUACUACAAUGGCGGAUACAAAGCGACGCAAGACCGCAAGGUGGAGCAAAUCGCAUAAAGUUCGCCCCAGUUCAGAUUGCAGGCUGCAAUUCGCCUGCAUAAAGUUGGAAUCGCUAGUAAUCGCGGAUCAGCUACGCCGCGGUGAAUGUGUUCCUGAGCCUU